rnacentral:rRNA from 1 species
AUACGGAGGAUCCGAGCGUUAUCCGGAUUUAUUGGGUUUAAAGGGUGCGCAGGCGGCCAUUUAAGUCAGCGGUUAAAUCGUGGGGCUCAACCCCAUUCUGCCGUUGAUACUGGGGGGCUUGAUUGCGGUCGAGGUUGGCGGAAUUCGUUGUGUAGCGGUGAAAUGCAUAGAUAUGACGAAGAACACCGAUUGCGUAGGCAGCUGACCAGACCGCAAAUGACGCUCAUGCACGAAAGUGCGGGGAUCGAACAGGAUUAGAUACCCUGGUAGUCCGCACAGUAAACGAUGAAUACUUGUUUUCGGCGAUAUAAUGUCGGAGGCAAAGCGAAAGCGAUAAGUAUUCCACCUGGGGAGUACGCCGGCAACGGUGAAACUCAAAUGAAUUGGCGGGG